rnacentral:misc_RNA from 1 species
GGGAAAAAAAAAAAUUCAAAGUGCAAUCUACACCAUGAGCAACGGAGAAGAAGAUGCAGCACGACGGCGUACUGUGGUGGCGGAUUAUCGCAAGAAGUUACUCCAGCACAAAGAGUUGGAGUCCAGAGUACGAGCUGUGAGAGAGAACCUGAGAUCUGCAAAGAAAGAAUUCAACAAGACAGAGGAUGAUUUGAAGUCCCUUCAAAGUGUAGGGCAGAUCAUUGGAGAAGUUCUCCGACCUCUUGACAAUGAGCGCUUAAUUGUUAAAGCAAGCAGUGGCCCUCGAUAUGUGGUUGGCUGCCGCAGUAAGGUUGAUAAGGAAAAAUUGACUGCCGGAACUAGGGUGGUUCUUGACAUGACAACGCUCACAAUCAUGCGGGCUCUUCCACGUGAAGUAGAUCCGGUCGUUUAUAAUAUGCUUCAUGAGGAUCCUGGUAAUGUGAGCUACUCAGCUGUGGGUGGUUUAUCUGAUCAAAUCAGAGAAUUGAGGGAAUCCAUUGAGCUACCUCUUAUGAACCCUGAGCUUUUCCUUAGAGUGGGGAUUAAACCUCCCAAGGGUGUCCUUCUUUAUGGACCUCCUGGUACUGGAAAGACAUUACUGGCUCGGGCUAUUGCAAGUAACAUAGAUGCCAACUUUUUGAAGGUUGUUUCAAGUGCCAUUAUCGACAAAUACAUUGGAGAAAGUGCUAGGUUGAUACGAGAAAUGUUUGGAUAUGCUCGAGAUCACCAACCCUGCAUCAUUUUCAUGGAUGAGAUUGAUGCCAUUGGUGGACGCCGUUUUAGUGAAGGAACGAGUGCUGAUCGUGAAAUUCAAAGAACGCUGAUGGAGUUACUUAAUCAGCUUGAUGGAUUUGACCAGCUUGGGAAGGUUAAAAUGAUAAUGGCAACAAACAGACCUGAUGUUCUCGAUCCUGCACUUCUUCGUCCUGGGCGAUUAGACAGGAAGAUAGAAAUUCCACUGCCAAACGAACAAUCAAGAAUGGAAAUUCUUAAAAUUCAUGCUGCUGGCAUUGCCAAGCAUGGGGAGAUCGACUAUGAGGCUGUUGUGAAACUUGCAGAGGGUUUUAAUGGAGCUGAUCUCCGCAAUGUUUGCACCGAAGCAGGAAUGUCAGCAAUCCGAGCUGAACGUGAUUAUGUCAUCCAUGAAGAUUUUAUGAAGGCUGUCAGGAAGCUUAACGAAGCAAAGAAACUUGAAUCAAGUGCACAUUAUAAUGCUGAUUUUGGGAAGGACUAGAAGCUCGCUUGUGUUGCCAUUGAGAUGGAGGCAGUGCAUUUAUUUCAAAAAUAUAUGGUGCAUUGUUUGUUUUUUGGCCAUGACAAACAAUAUUAUCACAGUUUAUGGAUUUCACUCUUCAAGUUUUCAAAUAUUCUACUUCAUCGGUCUUUUGAACAUGUUGAAAAUGAAUUUCACUUGUUUCUUUCUAGAUGACAUAUUUGUAGUUAUUCAUAGGAUUCUACAUGGCUUUUCUAAUUCCUAUGCCUAUAUUCUUCAGUGGUUGUUUUGAAGCAUGGCAGUGAUAGAACUGCCACCAUCAAGCUAUCAUUGUGAAUUCUGUAUUUACUUUGCUUUUAAUUUCGUACUUAUGUUUUGUCUCCAUUGCAAGGGGGGCGUAGCUAUUUCUCCCAGCAUUCUGUUAACCAAAUUUAGAACAGAGACUCAAAUGAAGAUGGGAAAAGGGAUGAGAUGGGAGAUUCAAAGUUGGUCUUGGAUUUUGCUUUUGUUUGAAAAUUACCCUUCAUUUGUCCAUGGAAAACCUGUACUACAUAAAAGUAGAAAUUUUAAAGUCUUUGCUAUUUUGGCCUGUAGCCAAUUUCACCUACGGUUAUAA